rnacentral:rRNA from 1 species
AUACGGAGGGUGCAAGCGUUAUCCGGAAUCAUUGGGUUUAAAGGGUCCGUAGGCGGGCUAAUAAGUCAGGGGUGAAAUCCCACAGCUUAACUGUGAAACUGCCCUUGAUACUGUUGGUCUUGAGUUACAGUGAAGUGGUUAGAAUGUGUAGUGUAGCGGUGAAAUGCAUAGAGAUUACACAGAAUACCGAUUGCGAAGGCAGAUCACUAACUGUAUACUGACGCUAAUGGACGAAAGCGUGGGGAGCGAACAGGAUUAGAAACCCUAGUAGUCC